rnacentral:lncRNA from 1 species
AUGAAGCUGUACUACCUUGGGAGGACAGCGUGUCCAUCUACUGCUGGCUCUAAAGAAGCUGCAGCUGCUUUGCCAGCCGUGUACACGCCGGGUUGUGUGACAUGGAGCUACCCUGUGACUGCACCGCCUCCUCGCUGUCCUCGUGACUGCAAUGAGCACCGCAGAAAUGCCCUACUGCAUUUCCAGGUUCACCUUGUAAGUUUUGUCAACUGUUUCUUAAAGAAAGGAAGGAUGAAAAUUAAUUACUUGGAGCAAGAACAACGGGAGAAGCAGAUCCCAGCCUUCUGCUGAGGAGAAGUUCCCCAGCCCUUAGUUUCCUUCAGCAGCUGUUUGCUGGCUGUUUGCAGGAGUGCCCAGCCCCUUCACCAUCUGCCUGUUGUCCUCCAGACAUUUCUAUAACCUCCUGUCAUGGCAUCCCUUCCGAGUGAAUGGGAGUCCCUGUAGAUAGCUUGAGGAGGGAAGGGUGACUCCCCUGUGCAAGGAUGGAGGUGGAACCCCAUCGUCUGACUGUACAUGGAAUAAAGGUAACAGGAUUGCUUCA